GAUGAACGCUAGCGGCAGGCCUAACACAUGCAAGUCGAGGGGCAGCGGGAAUGAAGCUUGCUUCAUUUGCCGGCGACCGGCGCACGGGUGCGUAACGCGUAUGUAACCUACCUUAAACAGGGGCAUAACACUGAGAAAUUGGUACUAAUUCCCCAUAACACUUCGGGAGGCAUCUUCUGAAGUUGAAAGUUCCGGCGGUUUAAGAUGGACAUGCGUUGUAUUAGUUCGUUGGUGAGGUAACGGCUCACCAAGACGACGACACAUAGUGGGACUGAGAGGUUAACCCCCCACACUGGUACGUAGACACGGACCGAACUCCUACGGGAGGCAGCAGAGGAGAAUAUUGGUCAAUGGACGCAAGUCUGAACCAGCCAUGCCGCGUGCAGGAAGACGGCUCUAUGAGUUGUAAACUGCUUUUGUAUGAGGGUAAACCUAGGUACGUGUACCUAGCUGAAAGUAUCAUACGAAUAAGGAUCGGCUAACUCCGUGCCAGCCGCCGCGGUAAGAC
rnacentral:rRNA from 1 species